AAUCUCCAACACAGUGCAAAGAAUACAUUCUGCAUUUGAGUCAAAUUAUGGUCAAUGGGGCUAAUUAAAGGUCAACAGAAGGUUCACUGAAGAGAUCCCAGAGUGCACCAUUCUGUGACAGCUCAGAUAUGUUGGAUUGAACUGAGACGUCUGGUAUUUGGGAUGAGAAAGAUGCAGGAAGGCAACAAACUUGAGAAUUCCUUGAGAAAUACUGCAAGUGCUAUGGCAUGGAGAGUGCAUGCAGCGAGAGCCCCAGAAUGCAGCAUGGGAAGCCACAGCACUUGCACAGUGUGUUCCUAGACACAGUCCUGCCAUGAAUGCAGAGGACUGGCCUAGAUGACUUCUCCAGGUCCCUUCCAGUCCUAUGAUUCUAUUCUACACUGCACCAGCCAGCUAUCCAUCUAGGUAUUUACAUUGCGGUCAUCAUGGUAGAAUCUGAGCACAUGAAAUAAAUUACCAUACAGUACAGCU